GCGCCUUCUCCUUGGGCUGAAGUGGCCGGGCCACAAGAAGCGAACCAAGGCAGCGGCGGGCGCUACCACCGUUCCUGGAAAGGAGACCAAGGACGGUGUAGGGAAUGGUUUUCACUGAGGGUGCUGUGGAGGGCUUGGGCGGAACCGGCGUUCAUGCUUCGUGCUACAACCCAUGCUCCAGAUUAGCAGAUUGCCGGCUCCUGUCACGAUUAAGAAACGCGAGUGUGCCACGAAGCAGUCAAUGUGCAGAGAAAACUACAUCUUCGUGUCACCCGUGGCUCCACAGCAGCCAGUCACAUGAGCUUCGUGGCGGCUCCACGAUCAUGUGGAGCACGACAUCGACAUGACAACCAGCCCGAUGACCACUGGUGCGGGAACUUCGGUGUUGGAGUGAGCUAAUUCGUCUUCUCGAGCUCGCAGAUGGCUGCCUUUGAAAGCUGCAGGUCCGUUCUUCUCCAAUCUGGUCUGCGAGUCCGUUCCUCCGGCAUGACUGUUUUCUAGGCUUUCCUUAAUUUUGCAGAUGCUUCACAACUCUGUAUUUGAAGAGCUUGAUAAUUGCAAGCAUUUUCUCUCGCAUAUUGCAAAGUAUUAGUGAUGUUCUACAUAGAAGGCUGCAGAGUAUGAUUGGGAUUGCUGUUGGAAAUCACAAAUAUCAGUUAGCUAUCUCUUGCUACAAGUUCAUGAUAUUGAUAAAGGCUUCAGGCUUUUGACA